AGAGACUACAGGUCAAUGGAGGUGGGGCACAGGGACUGCAGGUCAAUGGAGGUGGAGCACAGGCACUGCAGGUCAAUGGAGGUGGAGUACAGGGACUACAGGUCAAUGGAGGUGGAGCACAGGGACUAAAGGUCAAUGGAGGUGGGGCACAGGGACUACACGUCAGUGGAGAUGGAGUCACAGGGACUACAGGUCAAUGGAGGUGGGGGCACAGGGACUACAGGUCAAUGGAGGUGGAGCACAGAGACUACAGGUCAAUGGAGGUGGGGUCACAGGGACUACAAUUCAGUGGAGGUGGAGCACAGGGACUACAGUUCAGUGGAGGUGGAGCACAGAGACUACAGGUCAAUGGAGGUGGGGCACAGGGACUACAGGUCAAUGGAGGUGGAGCACAGAGACUACAGGUCAAUGGACGUGGAGUACAGGGACUACAGGUCAAUGGAGGUGGGGUCACAGAGACUACAGGUCAAUGGAGGUGGAGCACAGAGACUACAGGUCAGUGGAGGUGGAGCACAGAGACUACAGGUCAAUGGAGGUGGAGUCACA
rnacentral:lncRNA from 1 species